CUAGGCUGGUCUCGAACUCCUGACCUCUGGUAAUCCACCCACCUUGGCCUCCCAAAGUGCUGGGAUUACAGGUGUGAGCCACUGCACCCGGCCAGUUUUCUUAGUUUUCAUGGGAUAUUUUUCAAGACCUAGGGGCUACCCACCUGGCUAAUAGCAAUCCUAAAUCCUCAUACAUCCUAAAAGGCCGCUAAAUAUGAGGACUGUGUAUCUUAUGCUUCAGGAGCCUAGGAACAAGAAAGCGGCACUAACUGUGGAGGAGCAGUUAGCACGAGAGGUGGAACGCCUUAAGGCAAAGGUAGAGGCCGGGAGAGCCUGUUUCUUAGAGAAGUACAAAGAGUGUCAACGACUUCACAAACAGAUCAGGCAACUCAGGGCGGCUGCACUGGAAGUGAAGCAGGACCAGAAGAGCCAGCAGGAGCCAAUGGGGAUGGGAAGCAAGGAGCCUGCAGUCAGCACUGUCACCGGGUAGCCCCCUCUCGCAUUACUACCUCAGGGUCGGCUAGACACGCACAGCAGUUUGGGCACCAGCGUUCAAAUAAAAAAUCUUGGAUCAAAAACCACAACUAGUAGGCUUAGCUUAAGUGUGUGUGUGAGGUAUGCGCAUGUGUAUGUAUGCAGGUAGAAGAUGGGAAGCUCUGAAGCAUGAAACCAGUUAGGUCAACCCAUCACACUGGGAUGCUCAAGACUGCGGUCUGAGCUCCUUGUGUCCUUGGACAAAUGCCUUCCUGUGUUCCCUCUUCCUUCAUGUAACUUGAGCCCAGAUACCUAUCCUCACACUGUAGGAAGGAAUCACAUCAACCCAAACCUAAGUGCUUCAGGCCUCACUGAGUGAGAUGUUUAUUCAAAACAAAGAUGAUAGUUUUCAUGGUUGGGUGGGAUUAAACAAGGUUUCAUUUAUCCCUAAUUCUGAUAAGUCAGUUUUGAGAUUUUCCCCAAGGUUGCUUUUUCCCUCCUUGGUCACUUAUACCCUCAGUUCAA